UAUACCCACUGAAACAAUUAAAAUUAAAAUUAAAAAGUUCUCAUCCUUUUUUAUCACAAAAGGUGAAAAGCAUUAUCACUAUUUACACAUAGAGUAUACAGUAUUGAUGGACAACAUACAGUAUUGACAUGCACUAGUCACUAUUCUUCAACUUUUUUAGUUAGUAACAUACUAUGGUGGUGAUCCUGUCAGCACCUAGGGAGAUUCCUCAUUGUGGUAUUUAAUAGAUGCAUAGUAAUACAUUUAUGAAUAUACCUUAUUUAUUCAGCCCUCUAAUAAUGGAUAUUGUAUUUAUAUCAUAUUACUAUAAAUAUUUCAAUAAAUUAAUUAAUAUAUGUCAAUAUCCAUGUAGUUUUGCCGGGUCAGAGUUAUUUGAAUCUGUUGCCUUAAUAAUUCUGUCGAAUUGUCUUCUCUAAGGAUUGCAGCCAUUUGCAUUCCCAUCAGCAAUGUAUGAUAGAGUCUAUUAACCUGCAGUCUAAACAGUACAGUGGGUCAUCGGAUUUCUGCAACAUUAUUAAUUUGAUAUGUGACAGAUGGUAUUUCCUAGUUGUUUUCAUUGGCAUUGUUUUUUUAUUGGUGUUUGAAAGGCAUUUUCAUGUUUAAAAGUUCUUUAUAUUUCUGUUACUAAGAAUUAAAUGUUCAUAUCCUAUACCCAUAUUAUACUGAACUUUAGUCUUUUUAUUUUCAAUUUGUAGGCAUUCUUUAUUAAUAUUAGGGAGGCUGUCUCACCGGUUUUUUUUUUUUUUGGUGAUAGGAGUUUUUUUUUCCCCAUUUUGUCAUUUUUCUUUUCACUUUGUUUUUGUUGGAUGUCACCACACAGAAAUUUUUUUCUUUUCUAGAGAGGAAUUUUUCAGUCCUUUCUUUAAUGGUUUUUGGACUUUUUUUUAUUUCCAGAGAGAAUUUAUACACUCAGAGGUUGUAAAAUAUUCUUCCAUGAUUCCUCCCAGUAUUUUCAUCAUUUCACAUUUUACAUGGAAAUCUCUGUUCCAGUUGGAAUAUCUUUCUGAAGUGUGGGUGCAACUUCUUUCUUCUUCAUCGAAUAAUGCUAAGUGUAUAGUACCUAACAAAUUAAGACACAGUCAAUAACUAUGAAUAGACAAAAUAAUGGAGUGAUAAAUGAAGGAGACAAAGGAAUGUACUGAAAGAGCCCUCAGGAUGAAGAGAUCUCAGGAUGGUAGUUGCACGUGUGCAAGGGGCAGCCCAUCCAGAUUGUAACAGGAUGCAACAGAUGUGAACAGCAGGGAAACAACUUUUAUGUUUCUAGCAGAAUUCCAUUAAUUUAAGUCUUCAGAGGACA